CACCACGGCACCGCCGAACAAGACUAUAAAUAGACUUCCUUCGCUCCGCCUCACCUUCCUCCCCGCUCCACAGCCGAGCUCCUGUUCCCUUCAUCCGCCCUGGCCGGAGUGUGCCAAGAGACGACGGCCAACCUUUGGUUGCACGGCGCGGUGGCUCGCCAUGGGACUCGACGGUACUGUCGCCGGCGCUCUGCACCUUCCUCCGGUGUCUCCUGUACGUGCCUAGAUCACUCCCUGUACCCUGUCCCCGCUACAGCCGGUGGGCCUCCACAUGUGGGACGAGAACGAGGGCACUGACGAUCAUGGCCAGUCCCAUGACACCAUGCCUCACCCACCACUUUCGGUGGCUUUCUGCUGCCCCUGCGCGGGGAGCUCAACAUGGAGGGACUCGCCAUGGAUCGAGCAUCGCUCUGGAGUCUAGACGCGGCUGCCCACUGCCCUGCAAGUUGACUGUUCCAACGCCCACCAAGUGUUUGACGUAAUGUUUUGACGGCUGUAGGUAAAAGAAAAUACGUUCUAUCCAGAAGCUGUGUUGCUAUACUCCUAAUUUUGUGUUCUUCCAAGAUAUUUGACUUCACCAUUAAUAGAUCAAAAGGACUUCCCUCAACCAUGCACCAUAUAUUGUUUCCACAUUCAUUUUUCUCUUUAUUAACUUAGUUAUUCUCUUAUUAUCAUGUUUAUGAUUUCCGCUGCAAAGUUUGAUGACAUGUUUCCUCUUAUAGUGUUGAUGAUAGAUGAUCAAAGGUUAUAUGCGUGUUCCAUCCCAAGCACAAUUCUUUUUCUUUACAUGUUCCUUCUGUGAUAUGUCUGCUUAUGCAAUGAGGCUCAUGCUACUGGUGGAUUGCAGCCUGGAAAUAUGUUAAAAGAGAGAUUUACUGUCAGGAAGCCCUCCAUAGGAAAUAGGAUGCAGUGUAAAAUGGACUCUGCCUUAACCCUUGUUUGGUAUGAACUUCAUGGAUGAGGCAAUUGAGCUCUACACAACAAGCAUAUUUAAUACAUCAAGGUUGUUAGGCACAAUUGUUCAUGUAGAACCAUCUGCUAAACUUACUAUGACUUCCUUUCUAGGGUGCUCCAUGGAAUCUUCGAACAGAUCAAUGGAUAAAGCAAAAAAGAGAAGUCCACACAGGGCUCUAUGAGUCCUGCUGCUUCCGGUCGUCCUCCCCAUGAAUGUCGGGAGAAGCGGCUGCUACAGAACAUAUCGCACCCGCACGCUAUAGGCUCAUGGGUCUUCAGGACAGAGAUGGGAGGCUCUUCUACAAGCUCAUGAUCGACAUCGCGGAGCUGCAUAUCCUUGUUUAUAGAGAUAAUUAGAAGUUUGUGAGAAAUUUAGUGUGCUCUACAUCUAAUUUCAGAGGAAGUACAUGUAUUGUAGUAGCAUGCAAGUGGGUUCAUGCCAUUGUACAUAGCAGGUUCCAGCUGCCGUAUAUCCUUACUUUCAGAGACAAUUAGUAGUUUCUUAGAAUUAUAUCUCAUAGCACGAGCACGUGACUAUGAGAGAUUAUUAGAACAGUAGUUCUACCUGCUAUCACAUGCAUUUUUCCGUUAAUUGUACAAGUUUACAUGUACAUCUCUGAAUAAAGAAGAACCUUAUUACUGAAGUUAUAGAACUGAGGUGGUGUUGCUCUGUAUAUACAGGCUAUUAUUUGCAUGCUUUUCUGAAUAAGUGCAGCUUAAAAUGAGUUGAAACCUAAGAGCAGACAGUUGCAUGUUCGACUUCCGUUGUGCAGUACCAUUUCUUGCAACAUACUUUCAAUUAGAAUAGUUGUCCUGCAAUAUUUGCCUAGCUCUAAUACCAACCAUUCCUCACAAAAUACAUACACCCUUUUUAGUGUCUGAAUUUUAUUAUCUGUUGGCGAUCAGUCUUUCCUACUGCAGUUCUUGGAUGUGCUAUCCACCCUUCUCACUCUCAGGUUGUAGCAGCAAAUGGAUGGCAAGCAUCACGAAGCAUCUCAGCUCCAUCGCCUCCAGUGGCGGCAAGGUCUGUAUGCUCAGCCCAACCCCGAUGCUCUCUGUGCAUUUUAUUUAUACACCAAAAUAUACUGAAUGGAGGACAAGUUCUACUUUUUGUUAAUGGAGCUAGCUUGAUUGAUUUUUUUUCAGCAUUAGCUUGAUUGAUUUAAUCCCCGUGGAUGUGCUACUUUUUGUUCAUGCCAACGUGUAUUUGUGUUAAUGUCUACAAGGGAGCAAGUGGACUAGAAGGAUGGUUGGACGGAGAGUAAUCUGCUACAAUGUUUUACAUCUUUUAUGGUUAUUUCUUGAAUCUGUGAUAUAACAUAUAAUGCAUUCUGUAGAAACCAAAAUGAUGUUCAUUGCAGCUUCACUCUUUCUAUGUUUCUUCCAUUCAUUUCUGCUUUGAGAAAACUCCAUACUUGAAAAAUGUCUCUUCAUAGUUUCUUUGAAGUUUUUUCUGUAGUUUUCAGUCUUGGGUGCAUGCAGUUUCUUCAUGUCACAUCUGAAAUUUGGGGCCAGGUAUGUGCAUUCUAAUUAGUAGAGCCUUCUCAGUUUAUGAUACUAAAUGAGGUACUUCUAUAUAUAGGUUUGCACCAUGGCAUUUUUUCCUGUGAUUAAUUGAUCUUCAUACCAAGAAAAUCCUGUUCAAGGGAUAUCGUGCACUCUGAUUUUCAGUGCUUUUUAUGAGAAGAGGGUUGUCAAGUAAUUAUUUUUAUCUUUGAUCUGAACAACAAUAAUACUUUAGGAUUGAAAAAUGAUCAACACCUGUGUAAUAUGUAGCAUAAGUUGUGGCUCAUGGUAGUACACAACAUGGUUGAGUACCUGAGAUGGAAAGCCAAUCAUUAAGAUUUUUUUCCGAAGACAAUCACUAAGUAUUUUGAACAUAUUUUUCCUGCCAUCUUUUUUUGAAAUUGGUUGCUUGAUUAGAAAUACUCACUGUUAUAGUAUAUACUACGGAUAAAGUGUUGAGGUGUUGGUUAUAGUCCGACUAAUUUAUAUUACCAUGAUGUUCAGGUAGGUUGCUUUCUUGAUGUCUUCUCCCUGAGUAAUCGAGGAAAUACAGACCUAUCUUGCACGUUUUGAAGAAGCACAAUCAGUCUUAUGGUGUAAAAAGUAGUAGCACCUGAGGAUUGUUAAUCAAGGUUGCCUCUUCCAUUUCUAGAAAGGCAUGAUGUCAUGACAUAUUUUAAGUUUGAACUGUGAACAUUAUUUUUAGGAAGUGGAACGCAGCAAUAUCGUAGAGAUGUGUCCUGAUAGAAUGAAAGAAAUUCCUCCGACGUAUCCAUCAUUUUCCUUUUGGUGUUGUAUUGUCCAAAGGACUAAUGCCCAUAAGGGAAUUUUAUAGAGAUGCAAUGAAAUUCAUAUAAGAUUUUGAUGCCCGUCUUUAGGAAUCAUAUAGUGAACUACUGACACAUCAUCAUACAGGUUGGUUCUCAUCUUGGAACACAAUUAAAUGGAGAUCAAUAGCAAAACACGAGCUGCAUAACUGUUAAUG